GUAGGGAAUAUUGGUCAAUGGACGAAAGUCUGAACCAGCCAUUCCGCGUGCAGGAAGAAGAUUCUAUGGAUUGUAAACUGCUUUUAGCAGAGAAGAAACGCCUUCAUUGAUGAGGGUUUGACGGUAUCUGCGGAAUAAGCACCGGCUAACUCCGUGCCAGCAGCCGCGGUAAUACGGGGGGUGCAAGCGUUAUCCGGAAUCACUGGGUUUAAAGGGUGCGUAGGCGGGAAAUUAAGUCAGUGGUGAAAGUCUGUUGCUUAACGAUAGAAUUGCCGUUUGUACUGAUUUUCUUGAAUUGGGUGGAGGUUAGCGGAAUGUGACAUGUGGCGGUGAAAUGCAUAUAUAUGUCAUGGAACACCAAUUGCGAAGGCAGCUAGCUGGGCCUUGAUUGACGCUGAGGCACGAAAGCGUAGGUAGCGAACAGGAUUAGAAACCCCAGUAGUCC
rnacentral:rRNA from 1 species